GGAGAAGAGUGCUCGCUCACCACAGGGCAGGAAGUCAGCACACAGCACUGUGCCCAGAGGAGGAGAGCAUUGGCCUUCUGGCAGGCAGCCAGCAAAGGCAGAAUGAAAAAAAAAAAAAAUCAGUGCACAGAGGGUCUUUUAAACCAACACUAUCAAUACCACUUGUACUGCCGACUGGACAAAUGCCUGGGAGAAAAUAUGUGCUCCUGAUACUCCUCCUCCUGCAUGCAGAAAACAACAGUAAGAGGCUUGCAGUCGACUCUUGAGGAGAAUUCAAGUCCUUGAAUAUUUGAAUCGUUAAUAAAGUGGCACCAGCUAGCUCCCCAGAAAAGUAUUCAUAGCCUCUUUCCCUGUAACUGAG